GCAGUCGUGGCCGAGUGGUUAAGGCGAUGGACUUGAAAUCCAUUGGGAUCUUCCCGCGCAGGUUCGAAUCCUGCCGGCUCCGCG
rnacentral:tRNA from 1 species